rnacentral:rRNA from 1 species
GGAAUUUUCCGCAAUGGGCGAAAGCCUGACGGAGCAACGCCGCGUGAGGGAAGAAGGUCUUUGGAUUGUAAACCUCUUUUCUCAGGGAAGAAGUCAGUGACGGUACCUGAGGAAUCAGCAUCGGCUAACUCCG